GGGACCGUGGUUCAGGUACCGUAGCGGCGGCGGGUGGAGUUUCAGGUUUCGUUUUUGUCUUUUUUCACUGUCACUGACGUGUGUAGCUCAGAUCCUGCCCGAAUCAGGUUUCCUGUAUUAAUGGAAACAUCCCUAAAACCGAUGCUCUACGUUGAGGGAAAUAGAUAUUUCCUUUGAGCACAUUGGGCUCAGAAGACUUCAAGAAGAAGACAUCUACUGAAAAACACACUCUCACCUAGAAGACAAUCUGGAAAUAUUUGAUCAAAGGCAUCAAAGAAAGGCAUCAAACCACCGCCAGACAGCAAGAGGAGGAAAGAACAGAGAAGAACUGCAAAACAAUCAUAAAACAAGUUAACAAAAUGGCAAUGAGUACAUACCUAUCAAUGAUUACUUUGACUGUAAAUGGACUAAUUAAUCAAAAGACAUAGGGUGACUGAAUGGAUAAAAGAGGCCCAUCUA